ACGAAAGUCUGACGGAGCAACGCCGCGUGAGCGAAGAAGGCCUUCGGGUCGUAAAGCUCUGUUGUUAGGGAAGAACAAGUAUCGGAGUAACUGCCGGUACCUUGACGGUACCUAACCAGAAAGCACCGGCUAACUCCGUGCCAGCAGCCGCGGUAAUACGGAGGGUGCAAGCGUUGCUCGGAAUUACUGGGCGUAAAGGGCGUGUAGGCGGUUUCGUAUGUCUGGCGUGAAAGCCCCGGGCUCACCUCGGGAAGUGCGUCGGAAACUGCGAGACUAGAGUCCCGGAGAGGGAGGUGGAAUUCCAGGUGUAGCGGUGAAAUGCGUAGAUAUCUGGAAGAACACCGGUGGCGAAGGCGGAUCUCUGGGCCAUUACUGACGCUGAGGAAGCGAAAGCGUGGGGAGCGAACAGGAUUAGAUACCCUGGUAGUCCACGUCCGUAAACGGUGGGAACUAGGUGUUGGCGACAUUCCACGUCGUCGGUGCCGCAGCUUAACGCAUUAAGUUCCCCGCCUGGGGAGUACGGCCGCAAGGCUA
rnacentral:rRNA from 1 species